UUUCUAAAGCGUCACACUGCAAAGAGUUGUUGUUGCGCGCGGGCGGACGACGAGAAAAAGUUGGAAACGCGGAUGAAAACAACGGUUGAUUUUCACCCAACGCUCGUGAUUUUCGACCGCUUUUGAGUGAAGAAGAGAAACAAACCGCCUGUUUUUUAACUGCAUGCGUGCGUGCGGGUGUGUGUGUGUGCGCGCGUGUACGUGUUUGUAGUUUAGACGCGCUGCUCGCCGCGAUUUCUGUUGUUUUGUGCGGCCCCUGUAACUACAUGAAAAAUGUGGGCGAAACGUGUGCGAUAAAUAAAAGCCCGAGAUAGCGAAAAAAAAAAGAUAAAGUGUGUCCAACUUGGAGUCUGCUAAACAGGCGCUGUCGUUGUCGAUGUCCGCCAGAUAGCCAAGUGUGCAGAGACAUCCCUACGAUCAAAACGAGCUAACGUUACACUAAAACAAACACCCCCUCCUUUCCCUUCCCCACAACUUAUCGAAAAGCCGGCAAGACGACGUCCAAGAAGAAGCAGUCACAGCCGACGCGGCCGAAGACGAGCAGCAUGUUCAAGUGCAUUCCCAUCUUCAAGGGCUGCAACCGGCAGGUGGAGUUCGUGGACAAGCGCCACUGCUCGCUGCCGCAGGUGCCCGAGGAGAUCCUGCGGUACUCGCGGACUCUGGAGGAGCUCUUCCUGGACGCCAACCACAUCCGGGACUUGCCCAAGAAUUUCUUCAGAUUGCAUCGCCUGAGAAAGCUGGGACUGAGUGACAAUGAAAUUGGCCGCCUGCCGCCGGAUAUACAAAACUUUGAAAAUCUCGUCGAGCUCGACGUUUCACGCAAUGAUAUACCCGACAUUCCCGACGAUAUCAAGCAUCUGCAGAGCCUGCAGGUGGCCGAUUUCAGUUCGAACCCGAUACCCAAGUUGCCCUCGGGCUUCUCCCAGCUGAAGAACCUGACCGUCCUGGGCCUCAACGACAUGUCGCUCACCACAUUGCCAGCGGAUUUUGGCAGCCUAACUCAAUUGGAAUCCCUGGAGCUACGCGAGAAUCUGCUCAAGCACCUGCCCGAGACAAUAAGCCAGCUGACGAAGCUGAAGCGUCUGGAUUUGGGCGACAACGAAAUCGAGGAUCUACCACCCUAUCUGGGCUAUCUGCCCGGUCUGCACGAGCUUUGGCUGGAUCACAAUCAGCUGCAGCGUUUGCCGCCGGAGCUGGGACUUCUAACCAAACUGACCUACCUCGAUGUCUCCGAGAAUCGAUUGGAGGAGCUGCCCAACGAGAUCAGCGGCCUGGUCAGCCUCACGGACCUCGAUCUCGCCCAGAAUCUGCUCGAGGCACUGCCCGAUGGCAUUGCCAAGCUGAGCCGACUGACCAUCCUGAAAUUGGAUCAGAAUCGAUUGCAGCGGCUGAACGAUACGCUCGGAAAUUGCGAAAACAUGCAGGAGCUGAUACUGACCGAGAACUUCCUCUCCGAGCUGCCCGCCUCCAUUGGCCAGAUGACCAAGUUGAGCAACCUGAACGUGGACCGCAAUGCCCUGGAGUACCUGCCCCUGGAGAUUGGUCAGUGUGCCAAUCUGGGCGUGCUGAGUCUGCGGGACAACAAGCUGAAGAAGCUGCCGCCAGAGUUGGGCAACUGCACCGUGCUGCAUGUGCUCGAUGUCAGUGGGAAUCAGUUGCUCUAUUUGCCCUACUCGCUGGUCAAUCUGCAGCUGAAGGCCGUCUGGCUGUCGGAGAAUCAGUCACAGCCGCUGCUCACCUUUCAGCCGGACACGGAUGCGGAGACGGGCGAACAGGUGUUGUCAUGCUAUCUGCUGCCCCAGCAGGAAUACCAGCCAAUUACCCCAGACUAUCCACCCAUGACGCUUUAUAGAUCAAGCGAAAAAUUUGAUUCCACGGAAUUCUUCAGUUAUCAGCAAAAAGCCCGUGACCUGGAAUCCGAUUCGGAGCCAUUCGAGGAGCGCGAACCGUCGCGCACCGUGGUCAAGUUCUCGGAGGAGGCCACCCAGGAGAAGGACACGCCCUUCGUGCGCCAGAACACGCCGCAUCCCAAGGAUCUCAAGGCCAAGGCGCAGAAGCUGAAGGUGGAGCGCAGUCGGAACGAGGAGCACGCCAAUCUGGUCACCCUUCCGGAGGAGAACGGCACCAAGUUAGCCGAGACUCCAACCGAGACACGAACCAUUGCAAACAAUCACCAGCAGCAGGCACACCCAGUGCAGCAACCAAUCGUUGGUGUAAAUUCCAAGCAACCAGUGGCUGUGGGUGUAGUCACUCCAACCCCGACGAUAGCCCCAGCCGGCGUACAGGGUGGCCCAGAGGGAGCCAGCUCCACCGCCAACAAUGUGAAGGCGGCAACGGCAGCUGUGGUGGCUGAAUUAGCAGCCACUGUUGGUGGCGGUGAUGAGGUCCAGGAUGAUGACGAGCAGGAGGAUGAGUUUGAAUCCGAUCGCCGUGUGGGCUUUCAAGUGGAGGGCGAAGACGAUGACUUUUACAAGAGGCCACCCAAAUUACACAGAAGGGACACUCCGCAUCACCUGAAAAACAAGCGUGUACAGCACUUAACCGACAAGCAGGCCAGUGAAAUUUUGGCCAAUGCCCUAGCUUCCCAGGAGCGUAACGAUACGACACCACAGCACUCGCUGUCCGGCAAAGUGACAUCACCAAUUGAGGAGGAGGAGCAGCUGGAGGUGGAGCAGGAGCAGGAACAGGAGCAGCAACAGCAACAGCAGCAUCCCUUCGACUCCUCGCUCUCGCCCAUUCCGGCUGGCAAAACAGCAGAGGCCAGCACCGACCCAGAUAACUUGGAUGGCGUUACGGAGCUGCGUUUGGAGCAGUACGAAAUCCACAUCGAGCGCACUGCAGCAGGAUUGGGUCUGAGCAUUGCCGGUGGCAAGGGCUCCACGCCCUUCAAGGGUGACGAUGAUGGCAUCUUCAUAUCGAGGGUCACCGAAGCGGGACCCGCUGAUUUGGCUGGCCUCAAAGUGGGCGACAAGGUGAUCAAGGUCAACGGCAUUGUUGUCGUGGAUGCGGAUCACUAUCAGGCGGUGCAGGUGCUAAAAGCCUGCGGUGCCGUACUUGUUUUGGUGGUACAGCGCGAGGUGACUCGCUUGAUUGGACACCCCGUGUUCAGCGAGGAUGGCAGUGUGUCCCAAAUCUCUGUGGAGACGCGACCACUGGUGGCGGAUGCCCCUCCGGCUGCAUCCAUUAGCCACGAGCGUUACAUCCCGGCACCCAUCGAAAUUGUGCCCCAACAGCAACAGCAGCCCAUUCAGCACGUGGCUCCAACGCAUAGCUAUUCGGGCAACGUGUUUGCCACACCCACAGCUACUGCCGCACAAACGGCGCAGCCUGCGGCGUCUGCUGCACCCAAUGGAUUGCUACUGAAUGGCAGGGAGGCGCCACUGAGCUACAUCCAGCUGCACACAACGCUCAUCCGCGAUCAGAUUGGCCAAGGACUGGGCUUCAGCAUUGCGGGCGGAAAGGGGUCGCCGCCGUUCAAGGACGACUGCGAUGGCAUUUUCAUAUCCCGCCUCACGGAGGGCGGCCUGGCGCACCGUGAUGGAAAAAUUAUGGUGGGCGACCGGGUGAUGGCGAUUAACGGCAACGAUAUGACUGAAGCCCAUCAUGACGCAGCCGUCGCCUGUUUGACUGAACCGCAGCGAUUUGUGCGUUUGGUGUUGCAGCGCGAGUACAGAGGUCCACUGGAGCCACCGACGAGUCCACGCAGUCCGGCAGUGCUCAACUCUUUGAGCCCAUCCGGCUAUCUGGCCAACCGACCAGCUAAUUUCAGCCGAUCGGUGGGGGAAGUUGAGCAGCCGUACAAGUACAACACCCUGGCUGCGACCACGCCCACACCGAAGCCCACUGUGCCAGCUAGUAUAAGCAACAAUAAUAACACUCUGCCCAGCAGCAAAACCAAUGGAUUUGCCACUGCUGCUGCCACGAUAGACAGCUCCACGGGACAACCAGUGCCCGCUCCCCGUCGCACCAACUCCGUUCCAAUGGGAGAUGGAGACAUUGGGGCCGGCUCCACCACCAGUGGUGAUUCUGGCGAGGCUCAGCCCUCCUCGUUGCGACCGCUGACCAGCGAUGAUUUUCAGGCGAUGAUCCCGGCACACUUCCUCAGCGGCGGCAGUCAGCAUCAGGUGCAUGUGGCCCGGCCCAACGAGGUGGGCGUGAGUGCCGUCACGGUGAAUGUGAAUAAGCCUCAGCCGGAUCUGCCCAUGUUCCCGGCGGCACCCACCGAACUUGGCCGCGUCACCGAGACGAUCACCAAGUCCACGUUCACGGAGACGGUGAUGACGCGCAUCACCGACAAUCAGUUGGCGGAGCCGCUUAUCAGUGAGGAGGUUGUGCUGCCCAAGAACCAGGGCUCCCUGGGAUUCAGCAUCAUCGGCGGCACGGAUCAUUCCUGUGUGCCCUUCGGCACUCGAGAGCCCGGCAUUUUCAUAUCGCACAUUGUGCCCGGCGGGAUUGCCUCCAAGUGCGGCAAGCUGCGCAUGGGCGAUCGCAUAUUGAAAGUCAACGAGGCGGAUGUUUCCAAGGCCACACAUCAGGAUGCUGUUCUGGAGCUGCUGAAGCCAGGUGAUGAAAUCAAGCUGACCAUUCAACACGACCCACUGCCGCCAGGAUUCCAGGAAGUGCUGCUCAGCAAGGCGGAGGGCGAACGUUUGGGCAUGCACAUCAAGGGCGGCCUGAAUGGCCAGCGCGGUAAUCCUGCCGAUCCCUCCGACGAAGGCGUCUUCGUGUCCAAAAUAAACUCGGUCGGUGCGGCCAGACGGGACGGAAGGCUUAAGGUGGGCAUGCGUCUGCUGGAGGUUAAUGGACACUCGCUGCUGGGCGCCUCGCACCAGGAUGCGGUCAAUGUGCUGCGCAACGCUGGCAACGAGAUUCAAUUGGUUGUCUGCAAAGGUUACGACAAGUCCAAUUUAAUUCAUUCCAUUGGCCAGGCCGGCGGCAUGAGCACUGGCUUCAACUCGUCUGCAUCCUGCAGCGGUGGCAGUCGCCAAGGCUCGCGUGCAUCGGAAACGGGCUCGGAACUGAGCCAGAGUCAGAGUGUAUCCAGUUUGGACCACGAGGAGGAAGAACGUCUGCGACAGGACUUCGAUGUCUUCGCCUCGCAGAAGCCAGACGCACAGCAGCCAACUGGCCAAUCGGUCCUGGCAGCUGCUGCUGCCAUGGUGCAUGGCGCUUCGUCGCCCACACCACCUGCUGCUGCCACCUCCAAUACUACUCCCCAACCCGCAGCCGCUUCAGUGGCAUCUGCUGAUUUAACAGCACCGGACACGCCAGCCACGCAGACAGUGGCGCUCAUUCACGCAGAACAGCAGGCCCAUCAACAGCAGCAACAGCAGCAGCAGACGCAGCUGGCGCCUUUGGGUCAGGAGAAGAGCACCCAGGAGAAGGUGCUGGAAAUUGUACGCGCGGCUGACGCCUUCACCACCGUGCCACCAAAGUCGCCAUCGGAGCACCACGAGCAGGAUAAGAUACAGAAGACGACGACGGUUGUCAUAUCGAAGCACACGCUCGACACGAACCCAACCACACCCACAACGCCGGCGGCAGCUCUACCCAUCGCCGGAGCAGAGUCAGCGAACUCGACCGUUGCUCCUUCUCCAGCUGUUCCAGCAUCCACGCCCGGCUCAGCGCCAGUUCUUCCUGCCGUGACCGUGCAGACACAAACGCAAACGCAAACGACCUCCACGGAGAAGGAUGAAGAGGAGCAGUCGCAACUACAGCAACGAGGCACCCAGACCCCCGGAGCACGUUACUCCUAUCAGCAGAUGCUGGAGUCGCAGGAGGAGAGCCGAACUUCUGGCAAAGCCGCCCAGGCGAAGCCCAAGAAGGCGGAGCCCGUGUACAUCAUAGAUGACGAGGACGAUGAUGAUGAUGAAGACGCAGAUUCCCAGCGGCUGGACGACAUCGAUGCUAUCCAAGAGGAGGAUGAGGAGGACACGGAGAGCUCUCCGCCCUUGGAAGUGCAGUCUCCACCUUCCUAUGCAGACACUGAUUCCGAUACCUUCGAUCGACGACGUGGCCGUUACACCAGUGACUCGGAGAGCGACUGCCGGCCGUACAAACCAUCGAGAUCGGGACGCAGUACGCCGGAAUACGGUGGUCAUCGCAAGUCCGUAAGCUUCGAUCUCAGUGGAGACGAGCGCUCCAAGUCCGACUACGAGCGAUCGCGUUCCCGCACUCCAGAUGGUUAUACUAGGGCCUACGAUUCGGAGCAGGAUACUCGAGGUUCGGGACGUAAUCGCCUGCCGCGCAAGGGGAUCUUGAGGGCCACCAGUCCGUGCGCCACGCUGGAAAAAUCGGAACCCAUUGUGCCAGCAGUGGCACGCAUCCGUGAUGUGGAGUCGCCGCAACUUCAGCGCGUUUCCCGAGCCACUUCCCCCGAUCGACCUGGCGGGGAACUGGACCGGGAAAAUCCAUUCCGUCACCCCACUUCCGAGGACGAUGAGUACACGCGGAUAGCGAAGGAGGUCAGUAAGUCGCCUCGUUCGCCGCGCUCCACCCGCGAGCAAUUUUUCUUUGGCUCUUCGAGAUCCAGCGAGGAUCUGCUGGAGCAAUGCCAGUCGCAAUCCAGUGGUCGCAGCACUCCCAGCACAGUGAUCUCCAAGUCCACGGAGAAUCUCACCGGCACGCGACCAAAGAUACCACCACCCACCGCACCGAAACCGCAAUUAAAGAAAGCGAACCUGGUGCGAAAUGUAGCACUGGAAACAUUCCAGGCCAGCGAUGUGGGACAAGGUGAUUUUACGGUGUUCGAGCACGAUGCCAGCACGAAUACGAUCCAUCCCGUGGAGGCCAAAGUGCCCGUUAGGGUGUCAACCAAGACAAAACCGAGUCGCCCGAGGGAAUCACCACCACCGCCGCCAGUGAAUUUCGCUACCCUUCCAAAGUUGCCCAGCACGCCAACUUUGCGCGAGGCAGAGGAGUCCAUCUACAUGGAGGCCCUGCCACCGACGCCCUCGCAGCUUCGUCCCCACGAAUUCCUGCACGAAAACUCACCGGACAAUAUUCUGGUAUCGCCGCAGGAGCAUCGCGAGUAUUUGCUGCGCGAGAACGAGCUGAGGAAUCAGUUGCGGGCACCCUAUGAGCCCGCUCCACCUGUGCCCAUUGUCGGCGGCGGCGGAUAUUCGGUAACGAAUCCCUUCCUAGAUAGUUUCGACACCGACAUUGACAGCCUGCCAUUGCCACCACCGCCCACACCGCCUGCCCAACACCAACAUACACGUCAUUUGCAUGAGCCGCCGCAGUUUCCGCAGUUUGCGCCACCACUAACCGCUAACGCAUCCACGUCUCCAUCUUGUUCUUCCAAUGCUGCUUCUGCCGGUGGCGCCACUAACCGCUUGAUGGAUUCGCCGCAACGACAGCUGCUGGUCGCCGGGUCGCCCACCCAGAUCUUUCCCACAGCUCAGAUACUGCCCGUGCAGUAUGCCAGUUUGCCGCAACCGCAGCAGCCCAACACGCUCACCCUUAAGACCGUUACCCCCACUUCGUCCCACGACCCCAAACAGCCCCUGUUCAACCUGGUACUCCUGCCCGGCGACCAGGUGGCCAACAAAUCCUCGCCAGCAAUGCUCUACCUGCAAUCGUCAACACCUGCCAGCAGCAGGGAGGGAGCAGAGGAGGAGCCCCACCAGGACGAGGUUAGAGCCAAACCGACACCGACUAAAGUGCCUAAAUCGGUUUCCGAUAAAAAACGCUUCUUUGAGUCAGCCAUGGAGGAUCAACACAAGCCCACACAAAAGACAGACAAAGUUUUCUCAUUCCUGUCAAAGGAUGAAGUGGAAAAGCUGCGACAGGAGGAGGAGAGGAAAAUUGCAACAUUGCGCCGUGAUAAGAAUUCCAGAUUACUGGAUGCCGCCAACGACAACAUUGACAAGGAUGCCGCACACCAGUCGAGCAAAAGCAACAGCAACAGCAGCAGCGGCGAGGAUAAUGACGACAGCGACCAAGAGGAGGCCAACGCUCGCGAGGAUUCCGUUGACAACGCCGCUCUGGGGCACUUCGAUGAUGCGGAGGACAUGAGAACCGCACAAAGUCUGGCGCCGACAAUGCCACAUGCCCCCAGCAAAAUACCCAAGCAGAAGUUGAAAGCGAAACAGAUUGAGGCGACUCCACCCACACCCACACCCACACCCACGGCUCUUGAUCCGCCCAAGCCUUCGCUGCUGCCCAAGCCAAAGGUCAAGGUUGUCAUUCCACCGGCACUGCAACAACGUCUUAAGCAGCAGCAGGUGCAGCAGCAAGAACAGCAGCAGCAAUCCCAGCCCGAAGAGCCCUCAAUUCCGGAGGAGGAACAUGACCAGCAGCCAGAGCCGGAUUCGCCCACCGCCGCAGGAGGCAGUCGCAUACCCGUAAGAACCCUGAAGGCCGAACGCCGCGCCCUGGCCUUGGCAGCCCGCCAAUCCGGACUCAGUGUGGUGGAGUAUCUGACGCAACUGGAGAAGCAGGAUGAUAAAGAGUCCCCGGUUUCGCCCAAUACGCCCACAACGCCCACUGGCAAAAGCCGUUCCAUGAUUAAUGCGGAGAAGCGCGCCUCCUGGCGAGCAGCUCGUCUUCGAUCACUGGAACAGGGAGCCGUCGAGGCACAGGAUGUGAUCAAGAAUAUGCGCAAGAUGACCGACGAUCUGAUCACCCACGAGUCCAGGGCCAGCGAGGCUCAGCCGAAAAUAGUCUUUCCCAAAAUUGCCAUAAAAUCGAGCGACGGUCCAGUCAUUGUGCGCGAACGCGAGAAAAUCCUCGAUGAGAAGAUUGUGCGACGCACUGAGGAGGUGGCAUGCCCCAUUACGGGGCGACCUCAACUGCGCACCGUCGAGUACAUUGAGAAAAUCAUCGAGACGGAGGUGGAGACCUGCAAGGAACGCAUCAUAUCCUUGGAGCUGCAGGUGCCCGAAACGGAGGACGAGGGCAGGCUAGAUGACACGCAACCGCCUCUGGAACUCGAAGCGGAUGACUUCCAAGACGACGAAGAUGACGACGAUGAUGAUGAAGAUGAAGACGACUACGAGGAUGAAGAUGAGGAGGAGGACACCGCCUCCAUUGUGACUGUACAAGCGAACAAUGAGAAGCUAUUCCUGCGCCACGAUUCUGAUACCUAUGGUCCUUCGUCCAUUGAAAGUGUCGCAUCCGGCAAGGUGCGCAUCAAGCCCACGCCGCUGUCCCUUCACCAAACGCUGGCCAAGGAGACCACAAUUGUGGAGGUACUGAAUCCCGUCAUCGGCGGCGACGGCAGUGCCCGCACCAUCCACGUAAGCGGUGGCCUGCCCUUCGAGGAGGACGCUUUCGAGCAGGGCGCCGUGGCCGUGUUGCGCAGCGAAACAUUCGUCCUGCCAGGAGCCGCCGGCGGUGGCAGAUCUGAGUUGUCAUUAAACGCUAAAAUGAAAACCGUGCUCGAGGAGCUGCUGGAGAACGAGCGCGUCAAAUUGAAUUUGCAAAAGAGUCUCGAGGGCGAGGAAGAGCAGGACGAUGACGAUGACGAUGACGAUGAGAAUGGCAGUGCCUAUGGCGACGCGCAGGACUAUGUGGAGAGCGCCUAUGGCGAUGCCAUUGACGAUGUAGUUGACUUUGGCAGCGCCACGGUCACGAGCCGCACAGCCAAUGAUAAGGAGGAUGUCAAGAAUGGGAAUCAGCAGAUCCUCGAGGAGCUGAUUAAGGACAGCAACCGCAACACAAUCAUUGCUAAAUUGGCGGGCCAAUUGUCAGACGAUGAUGAAGAGGAUGACGACGAGGAGGAGAGCAGCGACUCCUCGGACGAGGAUAGCGAUGACUCCGACGAGGAGGACAACGCUCAGGAGCAGCUGAAUGUCACCUAUGUGCAGGGCGCCCAGGUGAUCGAGAAUCUCAAUACCCUGGCCACGGGCGGAAAGCUGCAAAAGUCGCAGACCUACACAACCAUCAAGCAAGCGGAAGAGCCAAAGGAGGAGGACACGAAACUGGAGGAGGAACCAUCCUCGGAGAAGCCCUGCGGAGCUGAUACCCUGGCCCAACUGCAGGCCGAGCAACGCGCCCUGGCCGAGAUCUCAAAGCAGCUGCGCAAGUCGGUGGAGGAUUUGCUAAACGCCGAUGGCGAGACGGUGGUGGAAACUCAGAGAACUUACACUUUGCCCGCUCCCAGCGAUAGUUCAGCGGUGGUCACGGUCACCGAGGUGGUCAAGAAGCAGAAGAAAAAGAAGAGCGAAACCGGGGAGGAGCUCUUCAAUCGCCUGCUAAACGCCGGAGAGUCGGAACGUCAGAUCUUCGACAGACAGCAGGGCGAGACCAUCACAACCACCACCACGACCACAGAGGCUGUGAGCUCGGAGGACAACGAGCCGAGCACCAGUGUGGUGACCACCACGCGGACUGUGUCCAAUAUUGUGACCAGCGGCAUUCCCAGGCCAGAAACCAGCAAGCAGAACAACCGCAGCAGCAGCAGCAACAGCAGCAGCAGCAAUAAUAACCGCAACAAGAACAAGCGAAAGGGCAAAAAGAAGUAGGGGAUAUCCGGCAGCAGCUGAAAGGAAAUGGGCUGAAGUGUUGAAGUUGCGUAUACGCCGUGUGCACAAAAAGUAGGAGCAAUCCCAAAUCCGUGCCCAGCAGCCGGCCGAAGUAUGAAUUAUCCACGAUGAUCCUUCACGAGAACCAUUUACCAUAAACUUUAAGCAUUCCCGACUGCCCGAGAUUUUUGGGGCAUACUCUUUUUUAGUUUUAGCCUUAAGCAAACUAAACCCGCAACUAAAUGAAACUAGAGUCGAAACGAAACAGCGAGAGCCGAGAACAUAAAUCAAAUAAUCGUAAAUAAUAUUACUAUAAUAAUAGUUAGCAGUGUGUAAGAGCGUCCAGUUGUAAUCCGUAGUAUGUAACACAUGGCAUAAGCACAACUAUGACAAAUGUCCUAUGGCGAUUUCAGUUUCCACUUUUAUACAAAUGUAAAAAUAUUUACAAGCAAUUUUAUGUAAUACCUUUAUGAUAUUUAGUGUGUAAACUCGUCUUUUUAUGAAAACGAAAGCAAAUGCCGCAAAAAACGAAUGAAAAUAAACAAA
rnacentral:misc_RNA from 1 species